AUAAACGCUGGCGGCGUGCUUAACACAUGCAAGUCGAACGAUGAAGCCCAGCUUGCUGGGUGGAUUAGUGGCGAACGGGUGAGUAACACGUGAGUAACCUGCCCUUAACUCUGGGAUAAGCCUGGGAAACUGGGUCUAAUACCGGAUAGGAGCGUCCACCGCAUGGUGGGUGUUGGAAAGAUUUAUCGGUUUUGGAUGGACUCGCGGCCUAUCAGCUUGUUGGUGAGGUAAUGGCUCACCAAGGCGACGACGGGUAGCCGGCCUGAGAGGGUGACCGGCCACACUGGGACUGAGACACGGCCCAGACUCCUACGGGAGGCAGCAGUGGGGAAUAUUGCACAAUGGGCGAAAGCCUGAUGCAGCGACGCCGCGUGAGGGAUGACGGCCUUCGGGUUGUAAACCUCUUUCAGUAGGGAAGAAGCGAAAGUGACGGUACCUGCAGAAGAAGCACCGGCUAACUACGUG
rnacentral:rRNA from 1 species